rnacentral:snRNA from 1 species
GCUCGUUCAUGAACAAACACUAAAAUUGGAACAAUACACAGAAGAUUGGCAUGGCCUCUGCGCAAGGAUGACACGAAAGUUCGUUAAGGGCGUUAU